rnacentral:rRNA from 1 species
AUGAGAAUAAUUUUUUUAUAAUAAAAUUUUAUUUAAAACUGAAAAGGAAAUAUUUAAAAAAUAAGAAGAAUUAUUUUUAGUACCUUUAGCAUUAGGGAUUUUUAAAAAAAAUAAAAUUUUUAUUUUUCUCGAAUUUAAUAGAUCUAUAUUUUUAUAAAUAUUAUAUUUCAUAAUAAUAUGUAAUAAUUUUAUAGAAGUGAAAUUCUUAACAAAAUUAAAGAUAACUAGUUGUAAAAAAAAACUUAAAGUUAUUAAAUAAUAAUAAUUUAAUAAAUAAUAUUAUUUAAGAAAAAUUAUGGGAUAAGCUUUAAUUUUUUUUUUAAAAUUAACAAUAUAUAAAAAAAAAGAUUAAAAUUAUCUAAAAAUUUUUAUAAAUAAUUUAGCUGAAUUUCUAAAAAUUAAAAUUUUUUAAGUAAAAAAUAAAACUUUUCAUUUUUUUAAAAUAUGAAAAUAUUAGUAUAAAUAAUAUAUAUAUAAUUAUUAAAUUAACAUAAAAGUUAAAAAUUUAAUUAUAAUAAAAGAAUUCAGCAAUAUAAUUUUUUGACUGUUUAUUAAAAACAAUGUAUUUUGAUCAUAAAAAAUAUAAUUCCUGCUCAAUGAAAACUUAAAUUGCUGUAGUAUUUUGACUAUACAAAGGUAUUGAAAUAAGAUUUUAAUUGAAAGCUAAAAGAAUGGAAAUUCAAAAAAUAUCUUUUUUUAUUAUAAAAAUUAAACUUAUUUUUAUUAGUGAAGAAACAAUAAUAAAAAUUUAAGACAAGAAGACCCUAAGAAUUUUCAUUGUUUUAAUAAUAUAAUUUAUUGUUAAUAUAAUUUAAUUGGGGAGAUUAAAAAAUAUUUUUAACUUUUUUUAAAAAAGACCUAUUAUUAAUAAUUAACUGAAAAAAUACUCUAGGGAUAACAGCGUAAUAAUUUUAAAUAGCUCUUAUAGAUAAAAUAGUUUGCGACCUCGAUGUUGGAUUAGGAUUAUUGAUUAAUGAAGAAGUUAAUUUAAUAAGUUUGUUCAACUUUUAAAUUCCUACAUGAUCUGAGUUUAAACCGAUGUGAAUCAGGUUGGUUUCUAUCUAAAUUUAUUUAGAAAUUUUUUUAGUACGAAAGGAAUUAAAAAUUAAAAUAAUUUUAAAAAUUAAUCUUUUUUGUAUCAAUUUUUGGAAU